rnacentral:rRNA from 1 species
GACGAACGCUGGCGGCGUGCUUAACACAUGCAAGUCGAACGGAAAGGCCCUGCUUUUGUGGGGUGCUCGAGUGGCGAACGGGUGAGUAACACGUGAGUAACCUGCCCUUGACUUUGGGAUAACUUCAGGGGACUGGGGCUAAUACCGGAUAGGAGCUCCUGCUGCAUGGUGGUGGUUGGAAAGUUUCGGCGGUUGGGGAUGGACUCGCGGCUUAUCAGCUUGUUGGUGGGGUAGUGGCUUACCAAGGCUUUGACGUGUAGCCGGCCUGAGAGGGUGACCGGCCACAUUGGGACUGAGAUACGGCCCAGAAGCCUACGGGAGGCAGCAGUGGGGAAUAUUGCACAAUGGGCGGAAGCCUGAUGCAGCAACGCCGCGUGCGGGAUGACGGCCUUCGGGUUGUAAACCGCUUUCGCCUGUGACGAAGCGUGAGUGACGGCAAUGGGUAAAGAAGCACCGGCUAACUACGUG